rnacentral:rRNA from 1 species
GACGAACGCUGGCGGCGUGCUUAACACAUGCCAGUCGAACGGAAAGGCCCUGCUUUUGUGGGGUGCUCGAGUGGCGAACGGGUGAGUAACACGUGAGUAACCUGCCCUUGACUUUGGGAUAACUUCAGGAAACUGGGGCUAAUACCGGAUAGGAGCUCCUGCUGCAUGGUGGGGGUUGGAAAGUUUCGGCGGUUGGGGCUGGACUCGCGGCUUAUCAGCUUGUUGGUGGGGUAGUGGCUUACCAAGGCUUUGACGGGUAGCCGGCCUGAGAGGGUGACCGGCCACAUUGGGACUGAGAUACGGCCCAGACUCCUACGGGAGGCAGCAGUGGGGAAUAUUGCACAAUGGGCGGAAGCCUGAUGCAGCAACGCCGCGUGCGGGAGGACGGCCUUCGGGUGGUAAGCCGCUUUCGCCUGUGACGAAGCGUGAGUGACGGUAAUGGGGAAAGAAGCACCGGCGAACUACGG